UCGUACGAGUGUCGGAUUAUGAUUCUUCAAGAGUUGCCCGAUCUCUGGAUGCGUCAGGAAAAAUAUGAGUUGUUCAUCAGAAGCAGCUUCAAAAACGAUGAUAUGGGCGUCUUCAAAGAUGCUAUGGUUUCCUGCACGCUUAGCGUUUUACUCACGUAAUUCCCUUCGAUGGACGUUGCUAGUGCCUGAAGGAAAAAAAAUAUAUAUAUGUACAAUAGGGAACAUGUAAAUAUAUAUAAACCACAACGUUGUUACCAUUUAAAACGCACCCAAGGCUCCAUGAAGAAAUCUAAUUCCUGAACACAUCUGUGACCGUGCGUGUCGAGAAAAGCUUGUAGUUUUUCCAUGGC